rnacentral:rRNA from 1 species
UACGUAGGGGGCAAGCGUUGUCCGGAAUCAUUGGGCGUAAAGAGCGUGUAGGCGGCCUGAUAAGUCGGUUGUGAAAGUCAAGGGCUCAACCCUUGAAUGCCGACCGAUACUGUCAGGCUAGAGUCCGGAAGAGGCGAGUGGAAUUCCUGGUGUAGCGGUGAAAUGCGCAGAUAUCAGGAAGAACACCCGUGGCGAAGGCGGUUCUCUGGGACGGUACUGACGCUGAGACGCGAAAGCGUGGGGAGCGAACAGG